UACGUAGGGUGCGAGCGUUAAUCGGAAUUACUGGGCGUAAAGCGUGCGCAGGCGGUGAUGUAAGACAGUUGUGAAAUCCCCGGGCUCAACCUGGGAACUGCAUCUGUGACUGCAUCGCUGGAGUGCGGCAGAGGGGGAUGGAAUUCCGCGUGUAGCAGUGAAAUGCGUAGAUAUGCGGAGGAACACCGAUGGCGAAGGCAAUCCCCUGGGCCUGCACUG
rnacentral:rRNA from 1 species